GUAACACUAACUGGAGGACCGAACCGACUAAUGUUGAAAAAUUAGCGGAUGACCUGUGGCUGGGGGUGAAAGGCCAAUCAAACCGGGAGAUAGCUGGUUCUCCCCGAAAGCUAUUUAGGUAGCGCCUCGUGAAUUCAUCUCCGGGGGUAGAGCACUGUUUCGGCUAGGGGGCCAUCCCGGCUUACCAACCCGAUGCAAACUGCGAAUACCGGAGAAUGUUAUCACGGGAGACACACGGCGGGUGCUAACGUCCGUCGUGAAGAGGGAAACAACCCAGACCGCCAGCUAAGGUCCCAAAGUCAUGGUUAAGUGGGAAACGAUGUGGGAAGGCCCAGACAGCCAGGAUGUUGGCUUAGAAGCAGCCAUCAUUUAAAGAAAGCGUAAUAGCUCACUGGUCGAGUCGGCCUGCGCG
rnacentral:rRNA from 1 species